GGCGUACGGGUGCGGAACACGUGUGCAACCUGCCUUUAUCAGGGGGAUAGCCUUUCGAAAGGAAGAUUAAUACCCCAUAAUAUUUAGAAUGGCAUCAUUUUAAAUUGAAAACUCCGGUGGAUAGAGAUGGGCACGCGCAAGAUUAGAUAGUUGGUGAGGUAACGGCUCACCAAGUCUGCGAUCUUUAGGGGGCCUGAGAGGGUGAUCCCCCACACUGGUACUGAGACACGGACCAGACUCCUACGGGAGGCAGCAGUGAGGAAUAUUGGACAAUGGGUGCGAGCCUGAUCCAGCCAUCCCCGCGUGAAGGACGACGGCCCUAUGGGUUGUAAACUUCUUUUGUAUAGGGGAUAAACCUACUCUCGUGAGAGUAGCUGAAGGUACUAUACGAAUAAGCACCGGCUAACUCCGUGCCAGCAGCCGCGGUAAUACGGAGGGUGCAAGCGUUAUCCGGAUUUAUUGGGUUUAAAGGGUCCGUAGGCUGAUCUGUAAGUCAGUGGUGAAAUCUCACAGCUUAACUGUGAAACUGCCAUUGAUACUGCAGGUCUUGAGUGUUAUUGAAGUAGCUGGAAUAAGUAGUGUAGCGGUGAAAUGCAUAGAUAUUACUUAGAACACCAAUUGCGAAGGCAGGUUACUAAGCAACAACUGACGCUGAUGGACGAAAGCGUGGGGAGCGAACAGGAUUAGAUACCCUGGUAGUCCACGCCGUAAACGAUGCUAACUCGUUUUUGGGCUUUCGGGUUCAGAGACUAAGCGAAAGUGAUAAGUUAGCCACCUGGGGAGUACGUUCGCAAGAAUGAAACUCAAAGGAAUUGACGGGGGCCCGCACAAGCGGUGGAUUAUGUGGUUUAAUUCGAUGAUACGCGAGGAACCUUACCAAGGCUUAAAUGGGAAAUGACAGGUUUAGAAAUAGACUUUUCUUCGGACAUUUUUCAAGGUGCUGCAUGGUUGUCGUCAGCUCGUGCCGUGAGGUGUUAGGUUAAGUCCUGCAACGAGCGCAACCCCUGUCACUAGUUGCCAUCAUUAAGUUGGGGACUCUAGUGAGACUGCCUACGCAAGUAGAGAGGAAGGUGGGGAUGACGUCAAAUCAUCACGGCCCUUACGCCUUGGGCCACACACGUAAUACAAUGGCCGGUACAGAGGGCCGCUACACAGCGAUGUGAUGCAAAUCUCGAAAGCCGGUCUCAGUUCGGAUUGGAGUCUGCAACUCGACUCUAUGAAGCUGGAAUCGCUAGUAAUCGC
rnacentral:rRNA from 1 species